UCUCUCCAGGAAACAAUUCUUCACUUUCUAUUUCACCCUGAUCUCAUUCAUCUUGUACUCUGUUGUCUGGAGACAACAACAUUGACACUUCUUUGGCUUUUAUCCACAUUCAAGCUGCCACUGAAAAUAUGUUGGUAGGUGGAUCUACUGUUCUGAUGCUUCCAAAAUUAUCACUCCAGAUGCUGAUAAAUGUCGACAUUUUCAUAGAGCUGUAUUUGUGCAGCCAUUCUGCUCCAUAUGAAAACUUGUCUGAUACCAGUGGGAUGGAAUUAAAAUAAGAGUCUCUGAAAUUCAUGUAGAAUGGAGGGGGUUGGAGAGCCAGCAUGCCACAAUUCAUUUUUAAAGUUUGUUUGAAGAAACACCUACAAAAAGUGAAGCACCUCUUGUUUGUAAGAAACAGUUUACAAGAAAGUUGGCAUUAGGCCCUCUUAUGAUCAAUUUCAAGAAGGUACAAUGCUGUGUAUAGUUCAUGGGCCCUACUCAGACUUUGAAAAUCUGCUGUUUUUCUUCACUGAAAUAUGUUAAUCUACACCAAUGUAUCUCUCUUGAGCUGGCAUCAUGAAUGUAUCAAAAUGGAAGUAUGCAUUUCUGGCUGUGGUGGCGCACAACACUAUUUGUAUAUCACACUUAUUCCCUGCUGCAGUUGUAAAGGAUAAAGAGCGGCCCUCUUAAGAAGUUUCCCUGUUGUGUUGCUAGCAGGAGAUUUCCUGACUUUAUGAUAAUUGGAUCUGGCCAGAUGGUGAUGACUCCUGGUAUUGCACACAGAAGAGAUGCCUUUUAAUUUCUCUUGCUAGGUUUCCUCAUGUUAACAUGGAGAAAUUCUGUGUUAGGUGCACCCAAGCUGAAAGACAUCUUGCUGUGAGGCAUACAGAAAUGCCGGUUCCUUCAUAUCCUCAUGACGGUUGCAUCGCGUAAUUUUAAAGCAAUGUGAAGAAGGGCUGUGAUUUUUAUUCAAUUGUUUUUAAAAAGUGAAAGUACUUGCCCAUAUCAGAUGUGGAGAAUGACGUCUACUUAGCUAGAGAACAUAGACUUAAUAGGCAUAGGCAGCCGCUGUUGAAGUAUUGCGACAUCUCUCCACCCAUGACUGGCCGCAAUAUCAGAAAUCAGUUCUGAAAGAGGGACACCUUUAGUGUCAAUUUAGUUUUCAUUCCCUCUUACUCUUGGCACUCUCUAGGGAGACUGUUAACAAGUGUGGCCAGGCGGCCAAAAGGGUGAGUAGCCCUG